rnacentral:rRNA from 1 species
GUGGGUUGUCCGGGGGAUAAUGCAGAAUCGUUGGGGGCCACUUCCCCUCGGAGAAAGCGGGACCUUCGGGCCUUGCGCUAUCAAUGACUGUCGAUGUUGGUGGGGAUGGUCCCGCACGAUCCUAACUGUGAAGGAUGAGAACUGAACCCCAACGGGAGGCAGCAGUGGGGAAUAUUGGACAAUGGGCGAAAGCCUGAUCCAGCCAUGCCGCGUGUGUGAAGAAGGUCUUCGGAUUGUAAAGCACUUUAAGUUGGGAGGAAGGGCAGUAAGUUAAUACCUUGCUGUUUUGACGUUACCGACAGAAUAAGCACCGGCUAACUCUGUGCCAGCAGCCGCGGUAAUACAGAGGGUGCAAGCGUUAAUCGGAAUUACUGGGCGUAAAGCGCGCGUAGGUGGUUCGUUAAGUUGGAUGUGAAAGCCCCGGGCUCAACCUGGGAACUGCAUCCAAAACUGGCGAGCUAGAGUACGGUAGAGGGUGGUGGAAUUUCCUGUGUAGCGGUGAAAUGCGUAGAUAUAGGAAGGAACACCAGUGGCGAAGCGACCACCUGGACUGAUACUGACACUGAGGUGCGAAAGCGUGGGGAGCAAACAGGAUUAGAUACCCUGGUAGUCCACGCCGUAAACGAUGUCAACUAGCCGUUGGAAUCCUUGAGAUUUUAGUGGCGCAGCUACGCAUUAAGUUGACCGCCUGGGGAGUACGCGCAGGUAAAACUCAAAUGAUGACGGGCCCACAAGCGGUGACAUGUGGUUUAAUUCGAACACCAAAACCUUACCCGACUGCAGAGAACUUUCCAAUGGAUUGGGCCUUCGGGCUCUGACCUGCAGGUGCGUCAGCUCGGAUGGUCCCUACAGCCGCUUCCUGGACCGU